rnacentral:lncRNA from 10 species
GGAAUAUCCCUGCUUUGUAGGAGCAGCCACAGAGCUGUAACACUGCCAGAGCUGUAACACUGCUGCUUCAAUAAAGCCGUUUUUUUUUCUACCCUAUCACCAGCUUGCCCUUGAAUUCUUUCCCAGGCAAAGCCAAGAACCCUUCAUAUAAGGACACAACCAGAAGACAUCAAUCUGCAAACCAGAAAGUGGGCUCUCAUCAGACACUGAGUCUGCUGACACCUUGAUCUUGGACUUCCCAGCCUCCAGAA